AAUAAACGAUGGUGAGGUCAGUCGUUGUUGAUGAAGGGUUCUAUAUUAACACCGGCUAGCGGCAACCAAACGUUCAUAGCGAUGUUGCUUUUUGAUCCUUCGAUGUCGGCUCUUUCUAUCGUACUGAAGCAGAAUUCAAUAAGCGUUGGAUUGUUUAACCGCUAGUAGGUAACAUGAGCUGGAUUUAGACCGUCGUGAAACAGGUCAGUUUUAUCCUACCGAUGAAAUGGUAAUGCAAAAGUAAUUGAACUUGUUACGAGGGAACCGCUCAUUGGGAUAAUUGGUAUUCAAGCCUGCCUGAGCAGCCAAUCAGCCGAAACUACUAUCUGUUGGGUUAUGGUUGAACGUCUCUAAGGCAGAACCCGUGCUUGAGCAUGACGAUUACAGCCUUUUCCGACUUUUAGUCGAAUCCGAAUAAACCUUCGGGUCCAAGAUCAUACUACGCGAGGUUAUGUUGCAGGACAGAAAGGCCUUAUGAUGUUCCUGAUAAUGUUAAUUUCGAAUAUCGAAACAGAUAAAUUCAUCGCAGACGACAACAAUUGAACGGGGUAUUGAAAGCAGAAGAGUAGCCUUGCUGCUGCGGGCUGCAGAUAUUAGUCUUUUUCUAUUU
rnacentral:ncRNA from 1 species